rnacentral:rRNA from 1 species
AUACGAAGGGUGCAAGCGUUACUCGGAAUUACUGGGCGUAAAGCGUGCGCAGGCGGUUUUGUAAGACAGUGGUGAAAUCCCCGGGCUCAACCUGGGAACUGCCAUUGUGACUGCAAGGCUGGAGUGCGGCAGAGGGGGAUGGAAUUCCGCGUGUAGCAGUGAAAUGCGUAGAUAUGCGGAGGAACACCGAUGGCGAAGGCAAUCCCCUGGGCCUGCACUGACGCUCAUGCACGAAAGCGUGGGGAGCAAACAGGAUUAGAUACCCUGGUAGUCCACGCCCUAAACGAUGUCAACUGGUUGUUGGGGAUUUAUUUUCUCAGUAACGAAGCUAACGCGUGAAGUUGACCGCCUGGGGAGUACGGCCGCAAGGUUAAAACUCAAAUGAAUUGACGGGG